rnacentral:rRNA from 1 species
GUCCACACAGUAAACGAUGAAUACUAGCUGUUGGCGAUAUACAGUCAGUGGCACAGCGAAAGCGUUAAGUAUUCCACCUGGGGAGUACGCCGGCAACGGUGAAACUCAAAGGAAUUGACGGGGGCCCGCACAAGCGGAGGAACAUGUGGUUUAAUUCGAUGAUACGCGAGGAACCUUACCCGGGCUUGAAUUGCAUUUUAAUGUCGUGGAAACAUGGCAGCCAGCAAUGGCAAAUGUGAAGGUGCUGCAUGGUUGUCGU